rnacentral:rRNA from 1 species
UACAGAGGUCUCAACCGUUGUUCGGAUUCAUUGGGCGUAAAGGGUGCGUAGGCGGCGGGGCAAGUCAGGUGUGAAAUCUCGGGGCUCAACCCCGAAACUGCACUUGAUACUGCCUUGCUCGAGUACUGGAGAGGAGACUGGAAUUUACGGUGUAGCAGUGAAAUGCGUAGAUAUCGUAAGGAACACCGGUGGCGAAGGCGGGUCUCUGGGCCGAUACUGACGCUGAGGAGCGAAAGCGUGGGGAGCGAACAGG